rnacentral:piRNA from 1 species
UAUUAAAUUAAGGAAGAAAAGGUACA